rnacentral:rRNA from 1 species
GACGAACGCUGGCGGCGUGCUUAACACAUGCAAGUCGAGCGGAGCGGCGAACGGGUGAGUAACGCGGGAGUAACUGCCCCCCUCUCUGGGAUAACAGUUGGAAACGGCUGCUCAUACCGGAUAAAGGGGGUUGGCGCGCUGCCUAUCAGCUGGUUGGUGGGGUGCUGGCCUACCAAGGCGGUGACGGGUAGCCGGCCUGAGAGGGGGACCGGCAAGAUUGGGCUGCGAUACGUCCCAGACUCCUACGGGAUGCAGAAGUGGGGGAUAUUGCACAAUGGGCGAAAGCCUGAUGCAGCGACGCCGCGUGGGGGAUGAGGGCUUUCGGGUUGUAAACCUCUUUCGCUAUCGAAAGGGUAGGUGGAGAAGAAGCGCCGGCUAACUACGUGCCAGCAGCCGCGGUAAUAC